rnacentral:rRNA from 1 species
AAAUUGAAGAGUUUGAUCAUGGCUCAGAUUGAACGCUGGCGGCAGGCCUAACACAUGCAAGUCGAACGGUAACAGAAAGCAGCUUGCUGCUUUGCUGACGAGUGGCGGACGGGUGAGUAAUGUCUGGGAAACUGCCUGAUGGAGGGGGAUAACUACUGGAAACGGUAGCUAAUACCGCAUAACGUCGCAAGACCAAAGAGGGGGACCUUCGGGCCUCUUGCCAUCGGAUGUGCCCAGAUGGGAUUAGCUUGUUGGUGGGGUAACGGCUCACCAAGGCGACGAUCCCUAGCUGGUCUGAGAGGAUGACCAGCCACACUGGAACUGAGACACGGUCCAGACUCCUACGGGAGGCAGCAGUGGGGAAUAUUGCACAAUGGGCGCAAGCCUGAUGCAGCCAUGCCGCGUGUAUGAAGAAGGCCUUCGGGUUGUAAAGUACUUUCAGCGGGGAGGAAGGGAGUAAAGUUAAUACCUUUGCUCAUUGACGUUACCCGCAGAAGAAGCACCGGCUAACUCCGUGCCAGCAGCCGCGGUAAUACGGAGGGUGCAAGCGUUAAUCGGAAUUACUGGGCGUAAAGCGCACGCAGGCGGUUUGUUAAGUCAGAUGUGAAAUCCCCGGGCUCAACCUGGGAACUGCAUCUGAUACUGGCAAGCUUGAGUCUCGUAGAGGGGGGUAGAAUUCCAGGUGUAGCGGUGAAAUGCGUAGAGAUCUGGAGGAAUACCGGUGGCGAAGGCGGCCCCCUGGACGAAGACUGACGCUCAGGUGCGAAAGCGUGGGGAGCAAACAGGAUUAGAUACCCUGGUAGUCCACGCCGUAAACGAUGUCGACUUGGAGGUUGUGCCCUUGAGGCGUGGCUUCCGGAGCUAACGCGUUAAGUCGACCGCCUGGGGAGUACGGCCGCAAGGUUAAAACUCAAAUGAAUUGACGGGGGCCCGCACAAGCGGUGGAGCAUGUGGUUUAAUUCGAUGCAACGCGAAGAACCUUACCUGGUCUUGACAUCCACAGAACUUUCCAGAGAUGGAUUGGUGCCUUCGGGAACUGUGAGACAGGUGCUGCAUGGCUGUCGUCAGCUCGUGUUGUGAAAUGUUGGGUUAAGUCCCGCAACGAGCGCAACCCUUAUCCUUUGUUGCCAGCGGUCCGGCCGGGAACUCAAAGGAGACUGCCAGUGAUAAACUGGAGGAAGGUGGGGAUGACGUCAAGUCAUCAUGGCCCUUACGACCAGGGCUACACACACGUGCUACAAUGGCGCAUACAAAGAGAAGCGACCUCGCGAGAGCAAGCGGACCUCAUAAAGUGCGUCGUAGUCCGGAUUGGAGUCUGCAACUCGACUCCAUGAAGUCGGAAUCGCUAGUAAUCGUGGAUCAGAAUGCCACGGUGAAUACGUUCCCGGGCCUUGUACACACCGCCCGUCACACCAUGGGAGUGGGUUGCAAAAGAAGUAGGUAGCUUAACCUUCGGGAGGGCGCUUACCACUUUGUGAUUCAUGACUGGGGUGAAGUCGUAACAAGGUAACCGUAGGGGAACCUGCGGUUGGAUCACCUCCUUA